GUCGCCGUUACUUAGAAGAGCAUUUUGGUAUGCUGCGUGUGCGCCAUAUCCUGUUGCUCACCAGAGAGCAAUGAAACAUAUUGAAAGGAUUUCCAAACCUGCUCAUGAUGCUCUUAAAAUUUUUGACCCAAGUUGCUGGAGGAAGGCUUAUUUUCAAACAACAUCACAAGCUGACAAUGUUGAAAAUAAUUUAUCAGAAUGUUUCAAUGCUUGGAUACUUGACCAAAGGUACCAACCGUUGUUAACAAUGUUACAGGAGAUCCAUUUUAAAUUAAUGUACAGAAUGAAAGGAAAAAAAAGGAAGAAAUGCAGAGCAAAGAUUGGCAAAUAUGUCCACAAAUCAAAAAGAAACUUGAUACUGCUGUAAGUGCUUCAAGAAACUGGCACGCGACAUGAGAUGGUAAGAAAAGAUUUGUUAUUAAACAUGGAACAAAAGCGGUGACUGUUAAUCUGGAAGAGAGAAGCUGUGAUUGUAGAAUGUAUGAUCUUAUAGGAAUACCGUGCGCCCAUGCUGUUGCUGCGAUUCAUGAUCGAAGAAUGCAGCCUCUCCACUUUCUAUCACAUCAUUAUACUCGAGAAAAGUAUCUUCAAACAUAUGAACUAGCAUUGGAAGCUCUUAGAGGAGAAGACUAUUGGGAAAUUCAAGAAUUUGAAACAAUCCUCCCACCACAUGUGCCCACAAAGUUGCGCGGAAGACCAAAAAAACUUAGAAGAAAAGAGUCAUGGGAAGAAAGUAGCAGAGGGAGCCAAGCUGCAAGCAACUCAUCACAACUUCCAACAAUGCAAAGACUCACUACUCAAAGAAAGAUGCACUGUAGCAUAUGUAAGAACCCGAACCAUAAGAGGCCUAAGUGUCCGAUGAGACACGUCAAUAAGAAUGAAUUUGAACUAAAUCAUGGGUCUGAGAAUUUCACGGCUGAGAAUGCAACAAAUGAUGGAGGAGCAACUGUUAGACAGAAACUACCAGUAAGGAGGAAUGAACGACAAUGAAUUGUCUAGUACUUAAAUUUUUAUUUGACUGAGUUCUGUAACUUGAAACUUCUUAUUAUUACUAGUAAGGAUUGUAAAGAUUUUAAUGAACUUUUUAACUAG